GACGAACGCUGGCGGCGUGCUUAACACAUGCAAGUCGAACGGAAAGGCCCUUCGGGGUACUCGAGUGGCGAACGGGUGAGUAACACGUGGGUGAUCUGCCCUGCACUUUGGGAUAAGCCUGGGAAACUGGGUCUAAUACCGAAUAGGACCACGCGCUUCAUGGUGUGUGGUGGAAAGCUUUUGCGGUGUGGGAUGGGCCCGAGGCCUAUCAGCUUGUUGGUGGGGUAAUGGCCUACCAAGGCGACGACGGGUAGCCGGCCUGAGAGGGUGACCGGCCACACUGGGACUGAGAUACGGCCCAGACUCCUACGGGAGGCAGCAGUGGGGAAUAUUGCACAAUGGGCGCAAGCCUGAUGCAGCGACGCCGCGUGAGGGAUGACGGCCUUCGGGUUGUAAACCUCUUUCAAUAGGGACGAAGCGCAAGUGACGGUACCUAUAGAAGAAGCACCGGCCAACUACGUG
rnacentral:rRNA from 1 species